rnacentral:rRNA from 1 species
AAUAGAUACCCAGGUAGUCCACGCCCUAAACGAUGUCGACUAGGUGUUGGGGAAGGAGACUUCCUUAGUACCGCAGCUAACGCGUGAAGUCGACCGCCUGGGGAGUACGGUCGCAAGAUUAAAACUCAAAGGAAUUGACGGGGACCCGCACAAGCGGUGGAUGAUGUGGAUUAAUUCGAUGCAACGCGAAAAACCUUACCUACCCUUGACAUGGUCGGAAGCCCGAUGAGAGUUGGGUGUGCCCGAAAGGGAGCCGACACACAGGUGCUGCAUGGCUGUCGUCAGCUCGUGUCGUGAGAUGUUGGGUUAAGUCCCGCAACGAGCGCAACCCUUGCCAUUAGUUGCCACAUUCAGUUGGGCACUCUAAUGGGACUGCCGGUGACAAACCGGAGGAAGGUGGGGAUGACGUCAAGUCCUCAUGGCCCUUAUGGGUAGGGCCUCACACGUCAUACAAUGGCGCAUACAGAGGGUUGCCAACCCGCGAGGGGGGAGCCAAUCCCAGAAAGUGCGUCGUAGUCCGGAUCGGAGUCUGCAACUCGACG